rnacentral:lncRNA from 1 species
UGGGUCUUCUUCUUCUUCUUCACGAAGUUUGUUUCCGCAACAGAAAAAUCUAAAUAAAUACCCCUUUAACAGCGGCUAACAGUGAUGUCAGAAAUUAAAAUGAUGCAGCGAGAAACAAGAAAAUAUAAAGGCACAAUCAACAGUCUAACUACGCGGAAGAAACAAAAAAGACUAAGUAAAAAGAAGAAUCAGAAUCACUGUUGAAAAUUGGGGACUAAAAAAGUACAUGGCAGCCCUUACUCAAAAUGAAACCAAUGGAUGAAACUUGAGACUAAAGACAAGAGCAUGCAUAAGAAAUCUUAUAGAAAAUCCGAUUGAAGAAUUUUCGCAAACACCUAGAGAACAAAAUUUAUUAACAUGUUACACUUUAUUUACAGGAAUCCCCUCACUACUCAGGGAAAAACACAAAGACCUAGCAUAUAAUCAAGGACUGAAAUAAAUCAAUACAAGAAGCACAGAUGGAGGGGAGGAGUGAGAGCAGAAAAAAUCCUACACUUAUAUAACAAAAACCAGAUGCAUUCACACCCUUAAAAUGGGAGAGAAAGUAAAAACUCUAUAGACGACUUCCGAAGAAAAUACAGUAGAGGAUAAAUGGCAGCAUAGGUAAACCAAAUAGGCACCAAUUGUGAGUAAUAACUGAAAAAGGCAUAGAGAAAUACAAGAAAAUAAUUUGAGUUUAUUUUCAGGAAAAUCAAGUAAGAUCGAAAAUGUAAUUUCUAUUGAUAUUUCUCUCAAUACCUUGGGUGGCAUUUGCAGGUGGAUCUCAGUAAGUCGGAGGAAUACGUUUAUUUGGUAGUUGAUGCUACUGUCAUGUUUGAAUCGGGCAGCAAACGAAAACUUUUAGAUCUGGCUUCAAUUAGUUUUGCUGUUGUCGUAAGCCUUUAUAGCUUGAGGAUUUUUUCUGGAGAACUUAAAUGACUAAGCUUUUAGGUCCUCUUGCUUACAGCUUUUGAAGACCCAGUAGAAAAUAACAAUGGAUGGAGGGGAGGAGUGAGAGUAGAGGUAUGAGAGAAGAGGUGUUCGCAGAUGGAGCUUUUCAGAACACGUUGAGCCUGG